GCCAAAACCAAUACACCACCGAGAUCAGUGUGUAUGCCCAACACUUAAUGCUGACAAUGAUGUCAAAGAAAAAUUCUAGUCCAACCUUGACUACAUACUGACUCUAUGGCAGUGCACCUUUGAGUGCUUACCAGUUUAAAGGCCUGAACAGGCUGUGAGGCAACCUGCAGAUGAUAGCACAGACAAUCAGGUGGUCACAUCACAGCCAGGAGGCCACCUGAUUGGAGCAGGGUGGAGCAGCCUCAGUAUAAGAUCAAGCCCUGAGGAGCAGAGCCAGCAACUGCUUCAGGGAUGCUGCUGAGUUAACAUUGCCCUGACUUCUGCUGCUCCUAGGAACA